AAACGCUUGAAGUCAGUCGCGUUAGCUGGGGAUCAGCCUCGCAUUUGCGUGGUGUACUUCCCAGUUGACGGGUCAGCAUCAAUUUUGACCGCUGGAAAAAGACUUGGGGAAUGUGGCAGCUCCGGCUGUGUUAUAGCCCUUUGUCACAUACAGCGGUUGGGAUUGAGGAACUCAGCACGCCGCAAGGCCGGGUUUUCGAACCACGUUCGUGCUUAGGAUGCUGGCAUAAUGGCUUUAAGCGA
rnacentral:rRNA from 1 species